CGAUCGGCAAUCGAUGGAAGACACCCAACGUGACAUAAAUUGCGCGAUAUCUGUUUUGGAAUCAGCCUAGCAACAGCGUUAAGGGGGAGAAGUCAAUACUGGUAUCGGCUCUCGGUAACGUUAGGAAGACAACAUUUAAAGAAGCAAUAAGAACAUUGACACCGUCAGGAUGAGACAAAACAGAAGUGCUUUGGCCAUCGCAAUUGCCGUGCUGAUGCUAGCCGAAUUAACACUUGCAUGGGCGGAUGACUUCGCGGUCGACGACGCCGACGAUGCACUGAAACAAAUGCUGAUGGCUAAACGAGUUCCGUCGCGACGCUGUAACUCCAAGAACUGGUGGCGAUGCGGCGGCGGCCUGGGCGGCUGGAGUCGGGUUGGAAAGCGCAGUGUCCGAUCAUUAGAGAGAGAGAUGGAGAAGUAAUUUCAUUGGAUACGACCACGAGAUUAACAGUUCUCCUGUGUCCUUUGCUACGCUCUUCACUUAUACUUGGUAAUCAGUAUUUCCCUCAAGAGUGUAUUGAGUAAUAUUUGGUCAUCAUACUCUUUUCACAAUUCCCUGUUAUCUUAAAAAGCAUCUGACAACCGAUUAUAUUGUAGUUUAACAUCAACUGUGAGUUAUUUAGUAUGUUGUUGGUAAAGACGCCUUGUGACCAUGGUUAAACUUCAUAUGCCAACACUUUGCCGAAACGCCAUGAGAAAAAAGGUCUAGUAGCAUAAGUUUCAAUAUUGAGAGCAACUUCUUAUGUGCAUUUUCAGAAGUCGAAGAAAACUUCGUUAAAUCUCAAGCAAAGUUGGGCGAAUAGAUUUAUCCAAGAAAUCAUUGUCUAUCUAGGAUUCGAAUAAAUUACAGGCAACUGUUUUAAGCCGAGCCAAUAAUGAUGCAGUUGAUGAAAAUAAAAAGUAGAAACUGA